UUCAUAAAAAAUGAUAAUGGCUAACAAUCCCAUUUUAAUCGUCUUAUUAAAUAUAAAUAAAUCUUUAUAUACAUCAACCAAUACGAAAACUUGAAAAUACACUCAUUUAUAUAUUAGUGUUUCUACAACAACUCAAUGUCACAUGAUAUUGCUGCCAAAACAAAAAUUCAAAGUUCUUCUACACUAUAAUCUUAGAUUACACACCAUCCAACCAAUUUCACUGGUUUCACCGGAGGAGCAGAGAAGCGACGAGUCGGCGGUACCAAACGCAACAGAUCGCGAUAGCAGCUCCUCGUUUUGCUGCGCCAGUCGAAACAGAAGAGAGAAACGAGAAAGGAAGGGAUCGGAGCUUUGUCGUCGUUGAGACAGACUGGAGUCGCCGAAAAGUCGAGAGGGGAGCUGCAACGUGAUUUCCCGAACGAAGCAAAGUCGCAGCUCUUCCUGCGACAACUGCACUAGCUUCGCUAGCCUGAAAUGGCAGAGGAGAGGGAGAGAGAGCGGCAUGGGAGCGGCGGCGGCGGAAGGAGGCGGUUCUGGUCUCAGGCGAUCGGGAAAACGAAAAGAAAAAGCAAGGGGGAGGGCUUAAGUCGGCGCUAAAGGGGAAAGAUGGGUUUCUAGAAUUUGCUUGGUUAGGUUUUUGUGAAUGAUUUGGUUCAAAUCGAGUUUGGUUCGGUUCAAAUCAUGGUUUUUGUGUUCGAUUUCCAAUUGGUUUUCACGUAGUUGCAGGAGGAUGCUAAAGGAAUCUAUACAGUCAAAAAUGGGUAUAAAGUGCUUUACAACCAACUCCCUAAUGCUUCCAUUUUACUUCAACAGUUAUGGAAAUCUAUUUGGAAGUUCUUGUUACCGCCUAAAGUGUUGAAUUUUUUUGUGGCGAGCUCCGAGUAAUGUUCUUCCAGUGUGUGCUUUCGCGAACCGAAAACGGUCCUCCAUUGUCCAGUGGCUUGUCCGUCUGCAAGACUGUGCUGGAUUCAGUCUCAGGUGGGUUAGUGGGGAGCUGUGUCAAUUUUCACAAAGUGGUUCACUAUUAUACAAGGUAGAUUGACAGGCAACAGCUUCAAAAGGCCGUAAUGGUCGCGUGGCAAUGUUUCAAGAGCUUCAAGAAUGGCGAGUUGUCAAGUUGUCUUCGAUGUGCUAUAAUGCUCCAGUCACGCCAUUCACUGUUAAAUGGCAGCCACCAAGUUAAAAUUUUUCUUAGUGGUAGGAGUCUGUGGUUGGGCCAAAAAUUUUACACUAAAAAACUAUAUAAAAUUAUUUUUACUUUUAAAGGAAUCACUCAAUAUCAAUCAGUAAUACUAUAUAUUUAUUUUCGUGCCA